UGCACUAAAACUUAAUUCACGUCGUAAAUCGAAUUAUUUCUAUCGUCAGUUGUGAAAACGAAAGUACGGUUGAUAUUCAAAUGCAUAAUGUUUCUCUUUCUGAAAUAUUGUUUUAGUAUGUUGAUGCUGCAUUUACAAAUAUAAGUGUAUAUGAAGUGAAAACACCAAAAAUAAACAACUGUUGCGAUUGACACCUAUAAACUGUUAGAUGCCCAUAAUAUCACUUUAGCGGUUUCCCCGAAAGACAGGCCUUCGCUGCGAAGUCAAAGUGGAUGGGGAACGCGACCGCUUGUGGAUUUCAAGUUGCUGGAACUUUCUAAGAAAGCUGCUUUUGUGCAAUAUUCAGCGAUUGUGCAAGCUGUGUGUUUGAAGUCGGAGAUAUAUAUUGCUGAUAUUAAUGAUGUUGUACACACGUACGUUCUUGUGACGAAUGAUCUGCAUCCUAUCAGUGGGAGAGCAUUCAGAAUCCCACAUUAUCUGCACCAUAUGGUUCCUCAACUGGUCGAGUGGUUGAAAGUUGCAACCACACAUUGCGAUGGGUCAUGAUCAUUCCCCCAAGUUUAUGGCAAUACAGUUCCAAAUUUAUCAGUUUAACUGGUCUCAGUCUUUCUCUACCCCUCAAAGAAUUCAAGAUAUACCCCCUCUGCAUUCCGGCACAGCUUCAAAUCAACCCAUCUAAUUACUUGUUUGGAAAGGUGAACUAGACUACCAAACUACCAGUGCACAUAAACUUUUUUUCUCUUUUGCUAGAGAUGUGGACACAACACCACUUUUAUGUACAAUUUUCAUUUCAGACACUUAAAAAUUGAAUAGUUCAUGUAUUAUUCGAUAUCAUAUGGCAGGUAUUGACUAAGAAAGAAUCUUUAUUAUUUAGAAUUUUUCUUAAAAAUUGACUUGUUCAUGUGUUAUAAGUAAUGGCAGGUAUUGACUAUUCAGAAAGCAUCUUUAUUAUUUAAAAUGUUUCUUUGUCGACAUUAAUGUAUUGUGUAUGAUAUUCAC